CAAAAUUUGAUUUUGUUUGCUAGGUUGGCGGUGCUAUGGAUCAUGGUUGCUAAGUAUCCCUUUGUGUUACCGCAUUUAAACCUCAGUAAGAUUGAAUUUGCAUCACAAACGCAAACAGCAAUAAAACCAAAUAAAUAAAUAAUAAUUCUUGAAAUCAAAGCAAUCGAUCAAAUAUUACAAACGAUCAAAUCACAGUAAACUAACAAAAUUUAGCUAAAGUCGUUUGAAUUUGAAAAUAAUGGACUCAGUUGGACAAAAUCCUACCUUGCCUUCUGUGACGUGUUUAUGCACCACGGCUGUCCUCAUCGUGAUAUUUGUCAUGGUUGCGAACCUGCUUCUGAACAUAUGGCUUCUGUACAAAGUGAUGGAAGUGGCCGACAAAUCCCAAGAAGUUUAGCUUUCUCUAUUCAAGAAUUCCGAUACUAUUGUUUCGUUAAUAUUAAAGAAUUAUAUUUAGUCCGUUUCUAGAAA